CACACGUAUAAACUAUAUAUAUAUUAAACUAUAAUACUCUGUGUAAGUCAGGAUGCCUCUAGUGGACUGAAAUUGGCGCAUUUCUGAAAUCAUGGGGCAGUGGGCCUCAAGCGUCUUUAAAAUGUUCACGUUUUUCUCCCCCCUAAAAAGAGGACAUCAGUUUAUUCCCAGUUCUUAUGAUCUAUCCUCAGGGAAUCACUUAAAAUACAAAGACAAACAAAACAGCAAAAAGAACCCUGAUCACACAGACGUUCAUCCGUGUAUUACAUGUAAUAGCGAAAGACUGGACACAGCCCGGAAGUCCGGCAAUGAGAGAAUGAUUGUUAGUUAGACAUUUGUAGAAUACUAUUCAUCCAUGCCCAAUUCCGUGUUCUGCAGGGUUCUUCCUUGGGGAAUGUGCCAGCAGCGAUGUUGUCUAGGGUGCAGGUCCUUCAGGAGAGCACCUGAUUGAGUCCCUUGAGGCCAACCUGAUGCUUAGCUUCUCAGUAUCAGAAACUGGCUUUUCUUAGUGCACAGAUAAGAGCAGACUCAUGGUGAUGGAUUUCCUCUCAAGGCUAGGGUAGCCAUCACAGCCAACGUAGUAGCUCACACUGCAUGACAUCCCUUUCCAGACAGCAGACUAUGAGCAUCCACUGCCCAAGAUCUGUCCUCCAGCUGGUAUUGGGGUAGAAGGGAAGGAAAAUCAGCAGGCUGCUCAGUGCUGAAGUGUCUCUGAUCUAGAGGAGAGACAACGUCUCUAGCGACUGAAAUGCUUGUGUCUCUCCCUUGGAGAGCGGAGGCUACCUGGUGACCAGUUUGCUCUCUUGCACUUGCUUUUCCAUGCUCACCACUUUCUUAUUAAUGCAGUUCCAUUCUGAGCACAGGUGACUGACCAAUCCAGGGGUGGCACGAGCUGGACCAAUCAUCGUUCCUUCUCUGGGCACAUGGACUUGGGAUGGUGCUAGUUGUCAAUCGAUUGCCUCUCAGCUCCAAAUUCAACCUUCAUUAUCUGCUCCAUAAAAUGUAGUGGGCCAUCUAAAAUGUUUCCCGUGCCGGCUGACAAAAGUUAUGCUUUGUUAAUAGAGAGCACUGGAGAGUCGUUGUAGGAGGGAUUUUCCUUUCUGAUUCUGGUGUGCUCUGCUCAGCAGGCCCCUGUAGCGUGUGGCACCUGGCUUCUACAGCUUGGACAACUCCUCCAGUAUCCAGCUCCUGCAAUGCAAGCGACUUCUUCAACAUCAGGGUCCUGCUGAUGCAAGCCAGGAUAGAUGGCUUCUUUAGCAUCCAUCUCCCCCAGUGCAUGGUGGCCAGAAUCAUCCGAAGGCCAGCAGCCUCCCCUGGCACUCCCACUACAGCACAAAUCGUGGGCUGGUUAUCCUCCAUUUGCCACUGCAGAUCCGCCUUCCUCCAUUCUCCACCCUGCUCCACGCACCGGGAGGCUGACCUCUGCAGAGUCCUUGUUGCUCCACCUUCCAGCUCAGCUCCGGUAACGGGACACUGGAAGGAGAGGAGAGAGCAGGAGGAGAGAGAUGUGAGCACAAUUAUUCCCCCGCUCCCUCUCAGCCAGACCUCAGGUGGGCAGUGGCCGCCUCCUCCACCUACAGUCCUGUCAGACAGUCUCUCUCCCACAGCCACAGCUUUGUUUGUUGCUCCUUCAGGACGAGGGAAGUUACUGCCCUCCCACAUCGCUACUCCCUGAGUGCUCCGCCAUUGCUCAUCUGUUACCUCAUCCCGGCCAGCACCUUUGUAAAUAAUCCUUCAUUAAACCCUUCAGUCACCAUGUUCGGCAAACCGUCUGUUUUCCGCGGAGCCCUGGCCAGUACAGCAGCCAUGGGAAGGAGGGGAGCAGGGGUCAGCGUUUGUUACAGAGGGGAUACAAGGAGAAAGACGGGGGCUUCUGACACGCAAAAUGGGAUCGUGGAGAAGGAUAAACGCCUUAAAGGCAGCCUCCUUAAAUUGCCUCUUCAGGUUAUUCUUCAGUUAGACUCGUUGCUCAUUUUCCCAUUAAGCAGGUGGGAAGUUGUGCAAGAGACUAGCUCAGCUAAAAACAAAGAUUAUAGGAACCACUGGUUUUCUGCACAUUCCUGGUUGAAGUGCAAUAUCAACCUGUAAGCACUAUGGGAACGUGGCUAACUAAAUGACAGAAUGACGGGAUGGAAUAUUAAUGAUGAUUACAGCAAACCUUAAUAAGCAACAGCUUAUAACAUGCUGCCAAGUGAAAAAGGAAGGCAGGAAACUUACGGUCAUCACGAUCUCAGUUAUGUUAAAAGCAUACACACACGAGCAGAGAAAAAGAGAACUUGUAAGGAAGUCACCAAAAUGUACAAAGAGGUUGCGUUUAGGUGGUGGAAUUAGGGGUGGUACUUAUUUUUUUCCUUUAUAUUUUUUUAAUACUCCAAUUUUUCUACAAUGAGCAUGAAUUGCUUUUGUAUCCAGAAUUUUAUCUGCUUUUUCUAAGAGAACAUGUGCGGCAUGAUCUGCUCACAUUAUCAGGAACGACCCAGACUGAGCGGCAAGUCCCAGCCAGGGCUUCCGUUUCCUGGGCGCCUGGGCCUGGUUAGUGCGGGAACCUUGGCAAACAACUGUCGGGUUAACUCUUUCUUCAGAAGAGAGGAGGAGGUGGUGCCACAGGGACCUUCUGCUGAGGGCUGCCGGUGGGAGUGCGGUCGCUAUCGUGAGUCCUGUCACCCUGGGUACCUACUGCGGAGAUCUGGGGAGUUCUUGUCUUCCAGGCAGGGUGAGUUGGGGCCAACUGUAGGGGGCUUCUGGAAAAUAAGUUGAGUCAGAAGUAGCCGUGUCCUUGGGGACAGGUGUGGGACUCUACCACCAGUGACACGCGCAGGGUAUGAAUGGUAUCCUUGGAGAGUGGAAAGCACCAUCAGGCCGGCUUAAUCAGGACCGGAGGGAACAUGUAAGCUGAUGUCCUUGUUCCUGCCGAGUGUGCGUCGUGCCUCGUGCCUUGUGCUUCGGAAGCCUAGCCGGCCACAGCAGACAUCUAGGCAAGCAGGCCCACAGGGACGGCCUCCUUACCGUCCUGGCUCCCUGAUGACAUCCCUGCAGGCUUCCCUCUUGAAUCAGCCACUGUGAAGUGAGGGCUAGGAGAGAACAGACGACACUUCUUGCCCUGACCGGUCUUCCCUUCCUGUUCUUUCCACCUUUGGCCGAGACACCACACAGAAGUGCAUUUUGGUUCUGUUUACAUUCUCGUCAGAAGGCGUGCUCAUUUCCAGGCAGCGCUUCUCACACAGUGAGGGACGUAAAGAUCAUCUGGGGCCCUUGUUAAAGCACAGGUUCCGACUCGGUCAUUCUAAGGUGGAGCCUGAGACCGGGCCUUUCUAAGAAGCCCCUGAUCCCACGGGAUGGAAGGGGCCCAGUCCUGUAUUCUAGGCUUAGUGGGAUACUGCCGAAUCUGUGAAGAGGAUCAGAACUCCAGUGUCAGAAUUAAUCACUGCUCCCUUCGUUUCCCCAACACCUCGCUCAAACCUUGAUACAGCUGCUGACAGCUGGACUCGCCUGCACCUCUGCCGCCCCGGGGCUGCUGGACAAAUCAUCUUUGGAGCCCUAAUACCUGGCAUGGGGGAUGCUCAGCAGCUUUUUUGAAUAAAGGAACAAACGCAUUAAUGGCUUUUGAAGGCAAUUUACAAAAGAUGUAGGUUGUUAAUAGGUAACAUUCCCCAAACUGUAUUCCCUGGGACACCAGUUCUGGGGGUGUUAAUAGAUAUUUGUUAAAAGAUGGAGGGGAGGUAAGAAGGUUCUGUAGUCACUUAAUCUGGAAAAUGCUGGAUUAAAAAUAGACAUCUGAAGAGCUUCUGGAGGCUAUAAUAGACUCGUGGUCAUUGCUAGUGUCUAGGAGAGGGAUCCAGUAGGCAGCGUUGCCCUCACUAAUAUGACCACAGAGAACUUUCCUGAGAAGCAUCUUAUUGCUUGUGUGCUGAGGAAUACAGGGACAGUCAUGACUCUGGGUAUUCAUCCAAGGAUUGUGGGUAAAAAUUAAGUUACGAAGGAGAUCUAGCUAGCCGGUAAGGGAAGAAGAUGUGAGAACCAAAAAGAAAUAGAGGCUUCCUUUUCUGUUCCCCUUGCCACCUGAGUCAUCAGACUGUGGGGCUCUCUCUGCUCUUCUGGAUUCCUCGGGGAGGAGGACACAAGGAGAAAUUCCGACUCCUUCUUCCUCCUCUGACCCACUGCAGUGGCUGAGAGGGAGAAGCCAGGAAACCAAGAGAGAAGGGAACCAGGAGCACUGCUUGGUGCUCAGUCCGCUAAAAGACUAAGGAUGCCCGUAAGUAUCCCCAGGAAGAGCUGUGCUCCAGCCAGAAGGCAGGGGAGGAUCGGAGUUUUAAAAGGGACCACAUACUGCAAGUGCGUAGCUGGGAUUAGAGUUGAAAUAAACUGACAAAAAGAAAGGAAGAGUCUAGAAAAAGGCCCCAAGUGAAUCCCAGAGUUCAUUUACCUUAAACAGUGGCUCCUAACUCAAGGCGAUUUUGCCCCUCCCAUUCCAUGUUCCUCAGCAUCUGGAGACAUUUUUGGUUGUCACAACAAGGAGGAGGGUGCUACUGGUGUCUAGUGGGGGGUGGCCAGGGAUGCUGCUCAACGUCCUGUAAUGCACAGGACAGCCCCCACAGCAAAGAAUUAUCAGGUCUCAAGUGUCAGUGGUGCCACUGUUGAGGAAUCUUGCCUUAAACAUUGUUCUAACACAUCACCUUGAAGUUAACAUUUAGGAUGUUGCUUAAAUUCAGCCGUUUUACCAUGAACAUUUGGGGAAAAUUUAUUCAGUAGGUGAAAAUCCGUGAUUAUGCAUUUGGAGGUCCAAAUCUCAGUCAGCAAUACUAUUUUGUAUGUUUAAACGACAUCAUAAACAACAUUACACGUUUUGCAAGGAGACAAAAAAAAAUAAACGGACUCACAACAAGUAUUUCCUUUAAUUUAAAAGUUUAGGAGCCAGCCCGGUGGCAUAGUGGUUACACACGCUUCGCUUCAGUGGUCUGAGGUUUGCAAGUUCGGGUCCUGGGUGUGGACCCACACACUGUUCAUCAAGCCAUGCUAUGCCAGCAUCCCACACACAAAAUAGAGGAAGAUGGGCACAGAUGUUAGGUCAGGGACAAUCUUCCUCACCAGAAAAACAUAUACAUAUAUAAAAAAUAAAAUUAAAUAAAAGUUUAGGAUGCUCAGAUUCAGCUGUUUUUUCAUAAAUAAUCUGGGGGAUAUUUAUUAAGUAGAAGGGGAUAAAAAAUACAAAUAAAUAAAUAAGAGCAGAUGUGGGAAGGAUCCCAUUGCAGGCUAUAUAAUUAGAGAACUUCUCAUACAGGUCCACGGGGAGACACGUAAGAGGGUGUUUUAUCACAAAGUUGUUUGUGAUGGUUGGGGAGCUGGAUACAAUGAGGUGUCCAUCAUUGGAAAGUCUUUCAUAAUAAGGAGCAGUAAACUAGCAACCAAUGGUGUAUACAUAGCAACGUAAACAGAUCUUUAACACACGGUGCUGAAGAGGGGAUAAAAACGUCAGGAACAGAGCCCUCUUGCACAAUAGUAUUGAUUGAAAUUAAAAAUACAUGCCCACAAGACAAUGCCUCAUGUUUUCAGGAACACUCAAAUAUAACGAUUCACAAAUCUUGGUCACAGUGCCAACUUUACAGUCUCUUGGGCAUUAGGCACCACUGCCACCUGGUGGUAGCAGUUCACAACUCAGGGUUUUUUUAAAAAUAAGAUGUAAUUCACAUACCAUGAAAUGCAUAAAUUUUAAUUUGAUGAAUUUUGACAUUUGUAAGCAUUAGUGCAAUCACCACUAUAAACAAUAUAUAGAACAUUUCCAUCGUCCCGGAAAGUUCCUUCCUUCCCUUUCUGGGAAGUCCUCCCACUCCUUACCCUAAACGUAACCACUGAUCUGUUUCUGGCACUGUAUAUAAGCUUCGCCUGUUGCAGAACUUCAUACACAUGAAAUUAUACAAUGUGUACUCUUUCGCGCUUUCGGGAAUCAUAAUGUUUUUUGAGAUUCAUCCAUGUUGUGACAUGUAUCAAUAGGUAAUUCAUUUUUAUUGCUGAGUAGUAUUCCGCGGUGUGAGUGUUUCACAGUUCGUCUUUCUAUUCACCAGUUGACGGACAUUCAGGUUGUUUCAACUUUGUGGGUAUUUCAAAUAAAGCUGCCAUGAAUAUUCAUGUAUAAGCCUUUGCGUGGCCGUACGUCUUGACUCAUCUUGGAUGGAAUUGCUGGGUC
rnacentral:lncRNA from 1 species